GCUGAGGCCACCCCGGCGGCGGCUGGAGAGCGAGGAGGAGCGGGUGGCCCCGCGCUGCGCCCGCCCUCGCCUCACCUGGCGCAGCUUGUUUGUGACCACUGAGGCCCUUGGUGAAUAUCUUAGAAGUCACUCAAAAUGGAUAAAGAAUGAAUGCUCAACACCACGUGGAAGCUGCCAAAGCUUGGGGCUUUCACCCUCUGAAGCCACAGCCUGAGCUCUACGGUGGCCCCUUUCAGCCACAGCUGGAGCAGCUGGGACACAGGGCACCAAGUCCCUAGGCUGCACACUGCAUGAGGACCCUGGGCCCAGGCCACGAAACCACUUUUUCCUCCUGGGCCUCCAGGUCUGUGAUAGGAGGGACUGCUGUGGAGGUCUCUGACAUGGCCUGGAGACAUCUUCCCCAUGGUCUUGGGGAUUAACAUUAGGCUCAUUGCUACUUAUGCAAAUUUCUGCAGCUGAGUUGAAUUUCUCCCCAGAAAAUGGAUAUUUCUUUUCUAUUACAUAGUCAGGCUGCAAAUUUUCCAAACUUUUAUGCUCUUUUUUUUUUUUUAAUAAAACUGAAUGACUUUAACAGUCCCCAAGUCACCUCUUGAAUGCUUUGCCUGCUUAGAAAUUUCUUCUGCCAGAUACCCUAAAUCAUCGCUCUCAAGUUCAAAGUUUCACAGAUCUCUAGGGCAGGGGCAAAAUGCUACCAAUCUCUUUGCUAAAACAUAACAAGAGUCACCUUUACUCCAGUUCCUAACAAGUUUCUCAUCUCCAUCUGAGACUGCCUCAGCCUGGACCUUAUUGUUAAUAUCGUUAUUAGCAUUUUUGUCAAAACCAUUCAACAAGUCUCUAGGAGGUUCCAAACUUUCCCACAUUUUCCUGUCUUCUUCUGAACCCUCCAAACUGUUCCAGCCUCUGCCUGUUACCCAGUUCCAAAGUCACUUCCACAUUUUGGAGUAUCUUUUCAGCAACACCCCACUCUUCUGGUACCAAUUUACUGUAUUUGUUUAUUUUCACAUUGCUGAUAAAGACAUAUCUAAGACUGGGAAGAAAAAGAGACAGUUCCACAUGGCUGGGAGGCCCCAGAAUCAUGGAGGGAGGUGAAAGGCACUUCUUAUAUGGCAGCAGCAAGAGAAAAUGAGGAAGAAGCAAAAGUGGAAACCCCUGAUAAACCCAUUAGAUCUCAUGAGACUUAUUCACUACCAUGAGAAUAGCAUGGGAAAGACUGGCCCCAGUAAUUCAAUUACCUCCCCGUGGGUCCCUCUCACAACAUGUGGGAAUUCUGGGAGAUACAAUUCAAGUUGAGAUUUGGGUGAGGACACAGCCAAACCAUAUCACAGAGUGGCACAAAAUUUUAGCCACAUGCAUAUUCCAGACGCUCCAACUCCUCCUUUCACCUCAUAUUAUAAGUAAGUGUCUUUUUCCCCAGUCUACUUAGUGCCGUAUUUUUUGCAUUUUUGUUCCUUUUUUCAAAUUGUGGUGACUUUGCUGUUUAGAGUACCCCCAGCUGAAGUGCUAUCUGGUGUCCCUAGGUGUAAGAAGGCUGUGCUGUGCCUUACAGGGAAAAUAUGUGGGUUAGAGAAGCCUCUGUCAGGCAUGAGUCAUAGUUAGUGCUGUCGGCCGUGAGUCCAAUGGUAGUGCAUCAACAAUAGAUAUGAAAUAAGGUGCCUUUACACAGAAACACAUAAAACAAGUGAUGCAUUGAUCAGUUGAUGAAAAUAUGGUGACGGCAGGCUCUCAGGCACAUAACCCCUGAGAAGCGAUGGGCUACUACUUGCUAAUUCAGUUUUGGGGGUGACUUUGUGGAAUGUAUAACCUGAAAUAAUGAGAAUAAACUAUAUUCUACUUCUUUUACAAAGCAAGGAAAUAAUUUUUAAAAGCAAGUUAAAUUUUACUGUUUUUGUAAGAGAUAUGUUUUCGAAACAGUUGAACUGUUUUAUAACACAGAGAAAGUCUCUUUGCCUUACAUUUUAUAUUAGUUAAUUAAGUCAGCAGAUUUUUCUUGGGCUCCUGUGAUGUGACUGGCACUGUUUUGGUACCAAAAGGGCAUUGCAAAAAAAGUCCAGAAGUAGACAGAUCACAGCCUUCAGGAUUAAAAGCAG
rnacentral:lncRNA from 1 species